AGGCGUAUCGCACAGCCAGCGCGCUGGCACUGAAGUCACCCACGGGUAUUUCAGAUAUUGAGGCCACCCGUACCGGUGGCCUUUUUACUUUUG
rnacentral:sRNA from 1 species